CAACUCGGAUUCCCCUAGUAACGGCGAGUGAAGCGGGAAGAGCUCAUGUUGUAAAUCUGGAUGAGGAUUCCUCGUCCCGAAUUGUAGUCUAGAGAUGCGUGCUCAGCUACUCUCCAGGGCUAAGUCUGUUUGUGAAAGACAGCAUCAUGGACGGUGAUAAUCCGGUUCUUGCCUUGGAUGUUGUAGCGUCUUGAGCCGUCCUCAACGAGUCGAGUUGCUUGGGAUUGCAGCUCUAAGCGGGUGGUAAAUUCCAUCUAAAGCUAAAUAUUGGUGGGAGACCGAUAGCGAACAAGUACCGUGAGGGAAAGAUGAAAAGAACUUUGAAAAGAGAGUUAAAUAGUACCUGAAACUGCUGAAAGGGAAGCGAAUGAAGUCAGUGUUGCUCUUUGUUCUCUGCAUCCUCCCUGCGGGGAUUGUGUAUCGAGGACUUUGAGCUUGUCAGGAUGAGUUCUCUGCCGCGGGAUAUGGUUUGUGAGCUGGAUGCUUCUGCUGAACUCACUCUCUCUGUCGUGGCUUGGACUGAGGUUCCAUCUUGCCGUUGCCUGCUUGUUACUCUCCUGUUGCUGUUUCUGUCCUACUGCUUGCAGUGUUCGGUUGCAGUGAUUGGACUGUGCAAGUUAUGCAUGCAAGGUCAGGAUCCUGACGAAAUGGCUUUAUUUACCCCGUCUUGAAACACGGACCAAGGAGUCUAACAUACGUGCGAGUACUUUGGUGACAAACCAAUGUGCGCAAUGAAAGUAAAGGCUGGCUUCCGUCAGCUGAGGUGGGAUCCUUAUGGAGCACCAUCGACCGACCAUUAUUCCUUCGGGAUAAAGGUUUGAGUGUGAGCAUUUAUGUUGGGACCCGAAAGAUGGUGAACUAUGCCUGAAUAGGGCGAAGCCAGGGGAAACUCUGGUGGAGGCUCGUAGCGAUUCUGACGUGCAAAUCGAUCGUCAAAUUUGGGUAUAGGGGCGAAAGACUAAUCGAACCAUCUAGUAGCUGGGUUCCCUCCGAAAUUUCCCUCAGGAUAGCUGCAACCGGUUUAGAGUUUUUAUCAGGUAAAG
rnacentral:rRNA from 1 species